rnacentral:rRNA from 1 species
AGAGUUUGAUCCUGGCUCAGAUUGAACGCUGGCGGAAUGCUUUACACAUGCAAGUCGAACGGCAGCAUAGGUGCUUGCACCUGAUGGCGAGUGGCGAACGGGUGAGUAAUACAUCGGAACGUGCCCAGUCGUGGGGGAUAACGUAGCGAAAGUUACGCUAAUACCGCAUACGAUCUACGGAUGAAAGCGGGGGACCGUAAGGCCUCGCGCGAUUGGAGCGGCCGAUGUUAGAUUAGGUAGUUGGUGGGGUAAAGGCUCACCAAGCCGACGAUCUAUAGCUGGUCUGAGAGGAUGAUCAGCCACACUGGGACUGAGACACGGCCCAGACUCCUACGGGAGGCAGCAGUGGGGAAUUUUGGACAAUGGGCGCAAGCCUGAUCCAGCCAUUCCGCGUGCAGGACGAAGGCCUUCGGGUUGUAAACCUCUUUUAGCAGGGAAGAAGGGUAACUGACGGUACCUGCAGAAAAAGCACCGGCUAACUACGUGCCAGCAGCCGCGGUAAU